GCGGUAGCUCAGUUGGAACGGAGCUCGGCUUCUAACCAAGUGGUUCCAGAUUCGAAACGCGCGGGCGUCGAUUAAAUGUGGGGACCGGAUGCCCCUAGCCUGGACACGGGGUCUAGAAGUGCUACUGGUCGGCUGGUAGCCUUGGUGGUGCCAGGUGUGACGUACUCACACGUGGUUCUCGAGCCGGAGCCCAGAGGGGUAACCGAGCCGGGAUCACGGGUGGGGAGGGUAUGAGUAAUAUAUGGCUGGGGUCUGGUGAGCUGGGCCUAUACCAAACAGCCAUUCUGCCCGAAUCGAACAUAGUCCUGGC
rnacentral:lncRNA from 1 species